UAGGGAAUCUUCCGCAAUGGACGCAAGUCUGACGGAGCAACGCCGCGUGAGUGAAGAAGGAUUUCGGUUCGUAAAACUCUGUUGUUAGAGAAGAACAGCGCUUAGAGUAACUGUUAUGCGUGUGACGGUAUCUAACCAGAAAGCCACGGCUAACUACGUGCCAGCAGCCGCGGUAAUACGUAGGUGGCAAGCGUUGUCCGGAUUUAUUGGGCGUAAAGCGAGCGCAGGCGGUCAAUUAAGUCUGAUGUGAAAGCCCCCGGCUCAACCGGGGAGGGUCAUUGGAAACUGGUUGACUUGAGUGCAGAAGAGGAGAGUGGAAUUCCAUGUGUAGCGGUGAAAUGCGUAGAUAUAUGGAGGAACACCAGUGGCGAAGGCGACUCUCUGGUCUGUAACUGACGCUGAGGCUCGAAAGCGUGGGUAGCAAACAGG
rnacentral:rRNA from 1 species